UCCCUCUUGAUCGAAAUUACAUUUUCUCUCUCUACAACUUACUCACUCACGUAGAUUUCUCUCUCCUCACUCAAUUUCAAACACACUCAUCACGAAUUUGCUUGUUCUACGCUCAAAUUCUUCGUACAAAUCUGCAAAUCAAUGAGUAAAUCAGGAAUUAUUCAGGAUUUCUUGUUUAAUCUGGUGGUUUUACUUCAAAUUUCUUCUCCAACACUCAAUUCUUCACCUGCAAAUUCGAGCUUAGAAUCAGGCGGAGAAUUCUCUUUAGGCGACUUUUGAAAGUGUUAAAGUGGCCUAUCAGUUUGUUUACACAAGUCUCUAAGGAUCAAUAAGCGUAGCCCAUCUACAGGUUUGAAGAUGAUGCAUCAUUGGGAUCGGGAUUAGAGAGCUUGUAGUCAUAUUUGCUUUAUUAAGUGAUUUGGUUUGUUAACUUAAAUUUGAAAUUGUCGUACUAUUCGUAUUUCCUUAUUUCAGUUAAUUGGUUUUGGACCUAAUAUGUAAUAAGAGUAUUUAUGAACCUAAAAGUUAGUUUUAUGUUUUCCGCUGCAAAAUUCUGAAUAAGCCGUUACGUUUUCACACGGGCGAUAAUACUUUGAUAAUUCCCUACAGUUAUAUUUAAAAAGGGUUAAUUUAGAAAAUGGGAAUUGUCGGGGUGUUACAUAAGUGUAAGUUCAAAUCCUACAUAGGCUAGAAUAAAUUCAAGGACUUCUAUAGUUUUCUUGCAAAAUGGGGAGGGGGGGGGGGGGGGGG